CGAGUGGCGAACGGGUGAGUAACACGUGGGUGAUCUGCCCUGCACUCUGGGAUAAGCCUGGGAAACUGGGUCUAAUACCGGAUAGGAGCUCCUGCUGCAUGGUGGGGGUUGGAAAGUUUCGGCGGUUGGGGAUGGACUCGCGGCCUAUCAGCUUGUUGGUGGGGUAAUGGCCUACCAAGGCGGCGACGGGUAGCCGGACUGAGAGGUUGGUCGGCCACAUUGGGACUGAGAUACGGCCCAG
rnacentral:rRNA from 1 species